rnacentral:rRNA from 1 species
CCUGGGGAGUACGGUCGCAAGAUUAAAACUCAAAGGAAUUGACGGGGACCCGCACAAGCGGUGGAUGAUGUGGAUUAAUUCGAUGCAACGCGAAAAACCUUACCUACCCUUGACAUGGUCGGAAUCCCGCUGAGAGGUGGGAGUGCUCGAAAGAGAACCGGCGCACAGGUGCUGCAUGGCUGUCGUCAGCUCGUGUCGUGAGAUGUUGGGUUAAGUCCCGCAACGAGCGCAACCCUUGUCCUUAGUUGCUACGCA